rnacentral:lncRNA from 1 species
AGCAAAUUGUAUGCCACAGAGGUUUGGAGAGAGAUAUUCUUUCAUAUUUUUAAGAUGAUUCAGCUGAUGUUGUCUUUAUUGCCUUUGCCUAAAGCAAGUUACAAUGUAAAAGCUGAAUGUAUUGUCAAUGACAAAAUGCCACAGCAGAAUCAGAUUUUAGAGAUGGGUGGAUUAAAAAAAAGUGAAGUAAAGCCAUUUUCUCAAAAUAAACAAGUAAAUAAUAAUCUAAACUGAAAAUUCCCAAAGAGAAUGAUAACACCACGAAGCCCUGAAUACUUGUUGCAUCCGCACCUUUUCAAUAAGAAGAAUAUCUUUGUUAGAUUAGACAGUAAACAAAUAUUUGAUAAUAAAUGAAUUAUUGUAUUAUUUAAAAGGAACAGAAUGUGGAUUAAUCAUGUCUGGAAAGUUAAAAACUAAAUAAAUUUUGUUGUCUUCAAUAUCCAGAAAUUUAUAACCAUGAAAAAGUAAAAGGCAGAAAAGAAAUACCUAGUAGAAUGUUGCAACUUCCAGCUCCUUUGUACCUAACAGUUUUCUGCUGUUAGCCAAGAAAACAGGAAAUUUGGAUGCUCCGUUCCACACCAAAUGAAUCAGGACCUCCAGGUUUUCUAAUUACAUUUCAUUCAUUGGAUAUGACAGUUCCAAAUAUAUGCACCUUUGUAAAUGAAGAGGACAGAAUUUUAAUCAGAAGAAUGAGAAAAUAAAAGUGCUAUGAUUAGAAAAACUUGAGGAUUAUUCUAACCAGCAAGCAAAGAUCUCUUAAAAACUUCAGGGGAAUUGAAGAAUGUUUUUUAAAAACAAUUACGUGGCAAGAACUCUCGAUUGGAUAGAUAAAUACAGGUAAUAGAUAUGUUUGAGGUAAAAUAGAACCUCAAUUUAAAUAGAUUAAUGUAAGAAUUUAAAAAAUGCUGCUGAACUUGAUAUAUUACAAUAAUCCUUUCUGGGCUGAAGGAAAUAGAAAUAAAUAGUAGGAGCAAGCCACAGUGGAAAAAACAUACAAUCUGUCUCACUGGGUGAGAGGGUUGUCCUGAAAACAUCUGACAUCUGGAAUGCCCUUGUCUGCAAGGAUGCAAGUCCUCCAAAUAUCCUAAGGCUAAUAUAAUGCCAUCAAGUAAAUGGACUUUGUUUAUAUACGUAGGAAUUUUUUAAGAAAUCAAAACAUUAAAAUUCUCGAAAGCAGUAUGAUUGAUCAAUAACUAAAUCUAUCCAUAACUGUGAAUUUGCACAACCUGGGCAACAAGCAUUUUCCAGGAAUAAAUUGCUCUUCAUCCAUAGUGUGUAAAUGACUCUUCCAAAACGAUUUUAACAGAUGUCACCAUUUUAUCUUAUUUUUUUCUUCCUGUUCCAUCUGCCACUGUCUCAAACUCUCUUUACUUCAUUCCUCAGGAACAGCUUUCAUCUGCUCUUAUUUCCUUUAAAUAUGUGAUAAUCUUUGUUCAUUGACUCUAUUUUCCUAAGAUAUGGUUGUUCUAAUUAAUUUUACCUAAGCUGACAUUAGGAGCAUUGUAAAAAUUAAUAACACUCUUACACAAGAAUCUGUCUUAAUACUAUGAAAUAUAAUCAGGUUUUCCAUUUUUAUAAAUGUCUUUGUUUAGAGUAAAACAGGUGAUGAUAUGGCUUUAUCAUCAAGAGACUCACCUCAAUGCUAACCUAAAAAGAGAGGAAAUUAGUUCUGAUAUAGGAUCCAACACAAUUAAGCAUUUUAACUCAUGCAUAUAACAAUUUCCUUGUCUCAAUCAACUGCUACUCUUCUGUUAUAUAAUGAAUUUCCUUCUUUCAAUUAUUUUCUAAGAAGCAUACUAUUUUUGGCAUAAAAUAUUGAUUUCCUUAAACAAAAAUUCAUGAUGGUACAGCAUAAGCAUGAAGACUUUAGAUUUAUGUAUGAUUUCUGAGCAGCGGCUAUUAAUUUUGGUCGACUUUGAAAGAACAUUUGAAUUGAUUAGCAUAAACUAUUUUUAAAUCAGUAGAGACUGAGUUAUCAUAUACACAUAGGUGUGUACAUGCAUAUGUAUGUAUGUAUUUUUCUUCUCUUUUUUUAUAUAGUAGGAGUAAUGGGGCAAGAUAGACUCAUAUAGACUAAAGAAAAUAAGUUGGCAUAUUUGAAUUGUAGUACACAAAAGUAGAACCUAUUAUAAAUGUAUACAUGUAUUAAGUAUGAUGAGUAAUUACUCCUGUAAUAACUAUGUCUCUGAAAAUCCUUCCUGGAAAAUUGUUUUCUCCUAAAUGUGCUGCUGCAGUUAACUUGUAUUUUCCUAUUGAAACACUAUUGCAAUAUGCUAUGUUGCUUGCUUGCUUGAGUACAUGUUACUUGAGUAAACUUUGUGACAGCAGGGAGGGACCACACCUCUCUUUUCUCAUUCUUUUUUCUCCAACAGCUUGUCUAAUAUAUGAACAGAGUUGUGGCUUCAUAAAU